AUACGGAGGGUGCAAGCGUUAUUCGGAAUCACUGGGCGUAAAGGACACGUAGGCGGGAAGCCAAGUCUGAUGUGAAAUCCUAUGGCUCAACCAUAGAACUGCAUUGGAAACUGGUUACCUAGAGUAUGCGAGGGGGAGAUGGAAUUAGUGGUGUAGGGGUAAAAUCCGUAGAUAUCUCUAGGAAUACCUAAAGCGAAGGCGAUCUCCUGGAACAUUACUGACGCUAAGGUGUGAAAGCGUGGGGAGCAAACGGGAUUAGAAACCCCAGUAGUCC
rnacentral:rRNA from 1 species